GAUAGUUAUGUCGCUCUUACAAUUUUUCUGAUUUUUUAAUAGAAAAAGUGGUUUUUCUGUACAGUAUUUGAGUGUAUUCUAUUCCUUAAGGUCUUUUUAACUUUCUGAAAAUGGAUGUUAUUUAUAAUAAUACACACUCAGCACAUCUUCUUAGAGUGCCCAUCCGCUACGGACGCUGGCGAUCAUUCUGGCUAUAAUGGUUUUGUUAUAGAUAUAGAUAUAGCACAUAAAAACCACCUAAAACAAGAGACCUGGGUCACUCCUUAUAAAAUUCUGAUAUUUGUCCAUCAUCGUUCUGGUUUACUGGAUUGGUUUUCGAUUUUCCAAUUAGAAAUUUUGUACAAUAAAUUGACGGAUGUAUACAGUUCCAGGGCAGUACAUUUAUCAUUUUGAUGAAUAUUACCAACAAAUGCAUCAGGAUUUAUAAGUAUAUAUAUAAUAAUAUAUAUAGUAUAUCUAAUUUUUAUUUCUUUGGCUCAAUAUAUUCUUGCUGGUUUUUAAUGUUCAUCAGUGGAUUUUAUCAUUUUUUUUUUCAGUUUCUCGAGAUACAUUUUUAUGGUUCCUUAUUAUAGAUACAUAAAUUGAGACCACCUAUUUUUAAUUUGGUCAAUUUUUUGGUUUUUGGUCACUACUUUUUCUUUUUGAUAGAAUACCACCUAACCUAGAACUUACCUUCAAGUUGUUUUUGGUUUAUUUUUAUUUCUUUAUAAUAACUUGACUCCUAUAUUUUCUUGAUUGUGGGAAUAAUAUCAUCAUUUAUCAAUUUUACAAAAUAUUCCAGCGAUUGUAUUUCUAUGGAUUUGUUUGAUAAAAUAUACCUCUACUAAGAACUCAUUUGUAUAAUAGCAUUUUUUUUAUGGUUAAUCAUUUCUCUGUUAUACCGUUAUACCUUGCCUUCUAUAUUUUUUUGUGUGUGGGCAUAAUAUAUUCAUUUAUCAGUUUUAUAAAAUAUUUCUUUGACUGCAUAUUUAUAGGUCUUAUUUCUUUCUUCUAUAGCUUUUGACUCUUAUGUUUUCUUGAUUUUGGAAAUAAUAUCACCUUUUAUCAAUUCUAUAAAAUAUUCUAUUGACUGUAUAAGUCUUAUUUGUUUGGUAAAGUGUACUUUUAUUUCUCUAUUAUAGCUUGCCUCUCAUAUUUUCUUGAUUGUGGGAAAAUAUGGUUUACUAUUUCUAUACAAUAUUCCAUGGACUGUAUUUGUGUAUAGGUUUUAUUUGUUUGGUAAAUAUCUAAUUAUUUAUAGACAAUGGUAAAACAUACCAUCUACUUAGAAUUUUACUUCGUUGAUUUCAUAUCAUCAUUUUUCUAUAAUAUAAGCUUGACUGGCUAAUAUCUUCUUCAUUGUGGAAAAAUAACUUUCGCCAUUUAUUAAAAAAAUCUGACUCGUCCACAUAUGAUGUCAUUUCUGGCUUUCCUAGCAUUUUCUCCAAUGAAUUUUCCUGAGUAACAUCGACUCCAGAGCAUUAUAACUAGCCUCCCCUAAGAGGAGGAGGCCCGGGUCACCCCCUAACUCUGAUGUUCGGGCAUCGAUGACCUAUGUAGCAUGCAUGGGUACCCAAGGGAGUCACCACCCUCUGGUUUACGAGCUAGGUGUUCUAACGCUAGAGGCUUCGGCCGGAUACGACCUGGCACCCAAGCUACGAGACUUCUUCGUGCACGUAUCCCGUGACGUCUCGACAAUAGAGGGGGCGGGAUAUCGGACACAUUGAAGAUGAUGAGGGGGGUCCGCCUGUAGGGGGUCCCGGUGGAUGUCCGCUCGAGGGGUGACGAGGGUGACCCGAGACGAGGCUGCUUAGCUGGGAUGGGAACUGACUGGUGAGGCUUAAUCGUCGCCCAAGGGUUAAAUCUGAUGAAGGGGGGCGAACUUAAAUGCUCUGGAGGAUUUUUUCUUUAUCUGAUUUUCAAAUUUUGAAUAGAUAUUCCUGGGAGGAGGCUCAGCAUAACCUUUUGCCAAUUUUUCCAGCUCUUAUUGACCAUAUACCUAUUUGUUUUUUCUUGUUUCCAAUGAUUGUUUUAUAAUUUGUAUUUUUUUGUGCCAUUCUUCUGACUAAUGAUUCUUCUGAUCAUUUUUUUUUUCAUGUAAUUAGACAUUUUACUUCUGUUUCGAUUGUAUUUUUAAAUAUUUUCUUCUUGUAUUGUACUAGCAAAUUCUGACCAUAAGACACAGAGUUCACAAAGUUUCACUUUUCUUUAAGAGAUAUGCUAUCAAACAAGGCUAACUGUUUUGCUCUGUGUAUUAUUGCUUAUUUUACUCAUAUUCUUCUAAGACUUCUAAGUCUUUAAACUUAUUUCUAUUGACACCUACAUGGAAUUUUAUAAUUUUGGAUUCACUUUCUAUCUGAUUUUCUUUUCAUUUCUUUUCUAAUUCCUGUACUGAGUCUUUGAAUGGGAUAUUGUACUGCUUUGGAACAAGGAUAUCUUGGAACAGCUGCACUUCAAUUCAACUACCCUCUUCAAGAUGCCAUUAGGUUGAUUAAGUUUAACAUUCAACAGUGGAUUGAGAAUGAAAUUCAUUAUUGAAGAGGAAUCUAAUUAAUUUUGGAACCAAGAGUUUCCAGGGUCCAAGGGUAGCCAGAAGAUUCAUUUACCUCAACAUAGGCAUCGGCAUGUCCA